AUUGAACGCUGGCGGCAGGCCUAACACAUGCAAGUCGAAUGGUAACAGGAAACAUCUUGCUGUUUCGCUGACGAGUGGCGGACGGGUGAGUCAUGUCUGGGAAACUGGCUGAUGGAGGGGGCUAACUGCUGGACACGGUAGCUCAUCCCGCAUAACGUCGCAAGACCAAAGAGGCGGACCUUCGGGCCUCUUGCCAUCAGAUGUGUCCCGAGGGGAUUAGCUAGUAGGUGGGGUAACGGCUCACCCAGGCGACGAUCCCUAGCUGGUCUGAGAGGAUGACCAGCCACACUGGAACUGAGACACGGUCCAGACUCCUACGGGAGGCAGCAGUGGGGAAUAUUGGACAAUGGGCGCAAGCCUGAUGCAGCAAUGCCGCGUGUAUGAAGAAGGCCUUCGGGUUGUAAAGCACUUUCAGCGGGGAAGAAGGGAGUAGAGUUAAUACCGUCGCGGAUUGACGUUACCGGAAGAAGAAGCACCGGCUAACUCCGUG
rnacentral:rRNA from 1 species